rnacentral:rRNA from 1 species
AGUCAACAUGCCCAGGGGACGUGGAUAACCUCGGGAAACUGAGGAUAAACCGCGAUAGGCCAAGGCUUCUGGAAUGGGCCAUGGCUGAAAUCUAUACGGCCCCUGGAUUGGACUGCGGCCGAUCAGGCUGUUGGUGAGGUAAUGGCCCACCAAACCUGUAACCGGUACGGGCUUUGAGAGAAGGAGCCCGGAGAUGGGCACUGAGACAAGGGCCCAGGCCCUAUGGGGCGCAGCAGGCGCGAAACCUCUGCAAUAGGCGAAAGCCUGACAGGGUUACUCUGAGUGAUGUCCGCUAAGGGCAUCUUUUGGCACCUCUAAAAAUGGUGCAGAAUAAGGGGUGGGCAAGUCUGGUGUCAGCCGCCGCGGUAAUACCAGCACCCCGAGUGGUCGGGACGAUUAUUGGGCCUAAAGCAUCCGUAGCUUGUUCUGCAAGUCCUCCGUUAAAUCCACCUGCUCAACAGAUGGGCUGCGGAGGAUACUACAGGGCUAGGAGGCGGGAGAGGCAAACGGUACUCGAUGGGUAGGGGUAAAAUCCUCUGAUCCAUUGAAGACCACCAGUGGCGAAGGCGGUUUGCCAGAACGCGCUCGACGGUGAGGGAUGAAAGCUGGGGGAGCAAACCGGAUUAGAUACCCGGGUAGUCCCAGCUGUAAACGAUGCAGACUCGGUGAUGGGUUGGCUUUGUGCCAACCCAGUGCCGCAGGGAAGCCGUUAAGUCUGCCGCCUGGGGAGUACGGUCGCAAGACUGAAACU